GAAAUAAAAAAUAGAUAAUAAACUAUUGGCAUUUUCACCGAAUACGAUCAUCAUUCCUAAUACGGAUUGAAUAGUUAUGAUGAAUUUAAAUAUAAAAGUCAUAUUCCGACAUUUUAAAAUUCUGCUAUACCCUUGAUAACUAUUUCAUAUAGGUAAUAACUAUAAAAAGUAAACAAAAAGAGAGCCGACUGGAUGUGCCUAGAUUAACAAUUCAAUCAUAAUCAAUGGAAAUAAAGACUCAAUGAAGUUUGGAAAAUAUUGAAAUCGAUUUACAGCUGGCGGCUGCAAUUUGGGGAGUUUUUGUCACGAAGGAAGCCAUUCAUCAAACACUGUCCAAAAUUUCGUGCAAGCUAAUUAAAUAUAAAUAUUUUAUAUUGUGACCCAGUCUGCAAGCUUGGAAGAGCUUCAAGGUGAAUACCCUAGUUCCAGACGGCUUAGCCAAUGGAAGAACGUGCGGAUUAUAAAAUCUGAUCAGCUGCCCACCUUUGUAUGUGGCCCAUCUUUGUGACAUUUAUCACUGGGCAAACACUUCCGCUUGGCCACAGAGGUCGCAUCCUGAUCCUGACCGCAUAAUAAAGCAAAUUUGGUCGUGUGCACGUACUCCGGUUCGUUGGGUUGCUAGAGCACGGUGUGUGGUCCCGCGGCGAGGGGAGUGAGAGAUAGAGAGUGAAGAGAGCGAGAGAGCGAGAGAGUGUGAUCGUUUAAGAUGAGUUACGAGGCCGACCAUCGAUAUAUCUACGUGCCCUGUUCAAAAUGUUGUUUAUAUCCACUGCGGUCUGCCCGUCCCAAGAAGGACACGUGCACGCGUCAGAUAAUUGAUAAAAUUGCUCAGAUAAGAUCCUGGAGUUUCAGUCAAGUAAUUGAUAUUCCUGUCGACAAGUCAACUUUUACCGGCUACCCGCUGAGCCGAGUCGAGCCGAGCCGAGCUGGGCGCAAAAGCAAUCAACGGCGACUAAAAAACCGACGGACAAUUUAUGCCACAGCAUUCGGAACUGCCAACACCCACAUACAGGAAGAGAAAGAGAUGGAAGUACAGUCUGUAUAUAUGGAUAUAUACUAGUAUAUAUAAUACUUGCUGCAAGAGCUUGUGUGGUGCUCCGAAUUCGAUUAUUUUUCCUGCAUCUACAACCAGGACACUGUCGUUGUCCAUGACUGUGUGAAGACGAUGAGCAAUGGUCAACACCGUACACUGGGCAAACUUGGUUAUCAAUAAUUACUUACUCUGCAUCCACAUUAGCAGUCGCCUCGUCCAUAAUAAGUAUUCGAUUAUUGCGGAGUAUGGCUCGGGCUAAGCAAACCAAUUGCCUUUGGCCCAUGCUGAAGUUCGAUCCGCCAUCUUGCAUAUAGCAUGAGAGGCCUCCCUCCAAGCUGGCCACGUAUUUCUUCAGCUUCACGUCGUCGAGUGCGUUCCAAAGCUCUUCAUCACUCUUCAUACCAAACGGAUCGAGAUUGAAUCGCAAUGUACCGGAGAAGAGAACUGACUCCUGUGGUAUGAUUGAGAUGCGACUGCGUAGAUCAUGCAAGCCCAACAAGGCAAUGUCCUGACCGUCUAUCUCGAUAAGCCCCUCAUUGAUUGCAAGCCGGAACAGUGCUUGGAUUAUCGAAGAUUUGCCAGCGCCCGUACGUCCCACAAUGCCAAUCUUCUCCAUGGGCUGCGACUCAAAGGUCAAGCCUUUCAGAAUUUCGAUAUCGUCUGGAGCAUAUUUCAUGCGUAGAUUACAGAAGCGUAAAUGGCCCUUUUCUGGCCAUUCAGAUGCGAGAUUUAUCUCCUUUGCUGUUUCCAAAGGUGGCUCAGAUGGGGUCCUCGCAUAUUCCAAUAUGCGCUCCACACUGGUCAUCUUAUUCUCCAGCUCCGCCGUCUGCCUCAUGCCCCACUGACACAUUAUGACCAGGGUCAUUGAUUGUGUGAUAGCCAGGCCAACAUCGCCACUGUAGAAAGUCUCAUUAAUUACCAGGAAGCUGAAUGUCACAGCUAGUAUGUAAACGACACAAAUGAGAUCCGUCCAAAAGGAAAAGGCACGAUUGGCGCUUGUGUAGAGAAAGAGCGCAGACGAGUUCGUAUUCUGAUGGCCAUGGAAAGUGUGCUCCAAUUGCGGCAUCGCAUCCAAUGCUCGUAUAGUAGUCAAGCCCUGUAACGUUUGAUUGGCAUGCGUGUAAACUGGACUACGAGCUGAGCAUGAAAAAGGCCAAAGCAUGUCAACUGCGACCGGCACCUAUGUAGAAAGAACGACAAAAGUACAUCAAGACCGCCAUGAUAGCUGCUGGAAUGAGGAGCCAAUAGUUGGCGAUUGCCACGAUGACCAAGACAGCCACCACAUCUACAAAGAACUGUAGCAAAUGGAGUCCAUCAUAGCCUGCGGCAAGGCCACAUCCACGUUCUCAAUAUCACUGGAGAAGCGAUUCAGUACUCGACCCGAGGGAUUGGCAUUAAAGAAGAACAUGCGAGCACGUAUAAUCCCAUCGAAGAGCAAAUUGUGCAAUCGUAGUGAAAUACGUAAACAUAACAGAAAGAAGCCAAAGGUACGCAACAAGUAGAGGGCCAAGGUGCACACCAAGAGCACCGCGUACCACGUAACCAUGCGAGCACGAGUCUCUUCGAACUGCUCGGGUGUUUCUCGAUUUUCCUCCCAGGUAGCCCAGCGCGAAAUGAAGAUGUCCAUUAAAGCUUGGCAAGCUCGAGCGACAAUGAAGAGCGCAAGCACCAGGCAAACCAAGGUGGGUGAGCGAAGAGCGCGAAAGUAAUCCAUAUUGAUCAUCCACCGUCUCUGCAGGAUCCUGGAAUAGUUUGGAGUUUCUGUCCACUUGGCUAAGGACUCGUUUCACCAGUUGCUUGUCUGCUUCAACGGCAUCCAAAUCGGGUGCUGCAUGCUUCUCAAUAACGUCUCGCAGCUCCGCAUAAGUACCUUGCUGGGUCAGGCGUCCGGACUCGAUAAUUAGCAAGUGAUCCACAUUCUGCAGCAACUGUACAUGAUGCGUAACCAAUAUGCGCAGCUUGUCUCCCAGGAACCGAUUGAAGCACUUGUCCAUUAGCAGCUUGCCCACUCCACGGGCAAGACUUAUUCUCGCCUUUUGUCCUCCACUUAAGCUGAUGCCCCGUUCGCCCACCACAGUAGCAUCACCGUGGGGCAGCAUAGCUAGAUCACAGUCCAGCUGGCAGGCAUGCACAACAGCUCGAUACCGCUGCUCCUCGUAUGGCUCCACAAACACAAUAUUGUCACGUAUGCUGGCCUGGAAGAUCCAGGGCUCCUGUGGGGCAUAGCUCAACUUGCCAUGCACUUCAAUGCGACCCUGCAUGAGCUCCACUUCGCCUAAGAUGACGUUUAGGAGCGUACUCUUGCCAGAGCCCACGUUGCCGACAAUGCCCACCAAUUGUGUUUGAAGAAGCUUAAAGCUGAUGUCCUCAAUGUGCGCAGUUCGUGCCUGCCUAACGCUUGGCUUGUUCCAGCUGGCGGUAACCUGGCUAAAAGUGAUGGACUUUUCCUUGCUCUCUAUGCAGUGCAAUCGACCCACAGAGAGAGGCUUUGCAGGUGCCUUUUUGAAAUCCAAUUGUAGGGUGGGAUUGUCUCUACAGUUGGAGGAGCAGUUCUCGUUGGUGGGCGAUUCAGAUUGCUGUAGGAACUCCGUCACUCGCCUUGCGCUAACUACAGUCUGCGCCCAGGUGGUAAUUGCCAAGGGCCAAAAGUGCAUCAGCGAAUCAUUCAGCAAGCUGUAGUAGGACGAGAGUAUAAACACCUUUCUGGCCGUAACCGCUUCACCAGUAUACACAUAGGCAAUGAGACUUAGGAACAAAGACACUUUCGAUAUCAUGUUGGUGCACUGCAGCGCCGCAUAUAUGCUAACGGAACCUCGGAUGGCUUUAACCUCCAUCUUACGCACUUUGGCUAUCAGCUUUGCAAAAGACUGCUCCCAUGCAUACAUUUUGAUCACCUGCAUGGCACUUAUAAUCUCGUUCAUCAGCUUCACACGGCGAUCCCGUUGAUCCGCUGAUCUGGUGCGAAAUUUGGCUGCCGCUUUGGCAGCCCACGCUUGAAGUGGAAUCAACAGCACUAUGAAGGCAAUGCCUAUCAAAGCCGUCCAGUUAAUCUCAGUGUACAUGAUGUAGCCAAAGAGGCACGCCUCCACGGGUCCCUUCCACAAGUCAUGAAAGAAGUAGAAUGUCAGAUCGAACUGUGGCAAAUCGAUGGACAUCACUGAUAUCGCCAGAGCGCCAAGUCCAUCCCGGCCAUUGAUCGCUGCACGCAAACACUUCCUGUAUAUCAGUCCAGCAAAGGCCACACGAAUCCUUGUGCCCACGGCGAAGACGUAAAACAUAAAUGGAUGAAAUACCAGUGACGUGAUCAGCGCGCACAGCACAAUGCCCAUCGCAUACAGAUAGGCGCUUUCCUUGCUAAUGCUCGUUUGCCCCUCGGCAAAGUAGGAGAUCAAGCCACCCAAAAAGAGUGGCUGAAAGGCACUGCAAAGAAACAAUGCAAAGAGUAUUUGAGAGAAAUGCAACCAUUUGUAUUCUAGCUGCAGGCUCAGGAUAACUCAGAGGACGGAAUUGAAUAGAUCACGCAGGCAGGCACAAACUGCCAUCCAUAAUGGGCAAAGAUCAGAUGCAACGAACUUGGUUGUUUGCGUUGAGAUUCACGUAUCCAUGGCUGUUGCAAAUCCUCCGUCAAUUUGGCACUAUCGAAAUAGUGUAAAUUUGCGUAUAGACCGUUUUCCGAGAGCUCUUCUCGUCGGCCUUGCCGAAAUACAUGGCGCAUCCAU